GGCUCAGGAUGAACGCUAGCGGCAGGCUUAACACAUGCAAGUCGAGGGGUAUGCCGAUUUAUCGGCAGAGACCGGCGCACGGGUGCGUAACGCGUAUGCAAUCUACCUUUCACAGAGGAUAGCCCAGAGAAUUUGGAUUAAUACCUCAUAGUAUAGCAAUUUCGCAUGAAACCACUAUUAAAGUUCCAACGGUAAAAGAUGAGUAUGCGUCCCAUUAGCUAGAUGGUAAGGUAACGGCUUACCAUGGCUACGAUGGGUAGGGGUCCUGAGAGGGAGAUCCCCCACACUGGUACUGAGACACGGACCAGACUCCUACGGGAGGCAGCAGUGAGGAAUAUUGGACAAUGGGCGCAAGCCUGAUCCAGCCAUGCCGCGUGCAGGAAGACGGUCCUAUGGAUUGUAAACUGCUUUUAUACAGGAAGAAACACUCCGACGUGUCGGAGCUUGACGGUACUGUAAGAAUAAGGAUCGGCUAACUCCGUG
rnacentral:rRNA from 1 species